AUGGGCGAAAGCCUGAUGGAGCAACGCCGCGUGAGUGAAGAAUGUCUUCGGAUCGUAAAGCUCUGUUGCACGGGACGAAAACUGGGUUUGAAAACAUUGAACCUGGGUGACGGUACCGAGCGAGGAAGCCACGGCUAACUACGUGCCAGCAGCCGCGGUAAUACGUAGAUGGCGAGCGUUGUCCGGAAUUAUUGGGCGUAAAGGGAGCGCAGGCGGACAUAUAAGUCCAUCUUAAAAGUGCGGGGCUCAACCCCGUGAGGGGAUGGAAACUGUAUGCCUUGAGUGCAGGAGAGGAAAGCGGAAUUCCCAGUGUAGCGGUGAAAUGCGUAGAUAUUGGGAGGAACACCAGUGGCGAAGGCGGCUUUCUGGACUGUAACUGACGCUGAGGCUCGAAAGCCAGGGGAGCGAACGGGAUUAGAUACCCCGGUAGUCCUGGCCGUAAACGAUGAAUGCUAGGUGUAGGAGGUAUCGACCCCUCCUGUGCCGGAGUUAACGCAAUAAGCAUUCCGCCUGGGGAGUACGGUCGCAAGACUGAAACUCAAAGGAAUUGACGGGGGCCCGCACAAGCGGUGGAGUAUGUGGUUUAAUUCGACGCAACGCGAAGAACCUUACCAGGGCUUGACAUAGAGUGAAAGAGCUAGAGAUAGCUUCCUCC
rnacentral:rRNA from 1 species